rnacentral:rRNA from 1 species
GAUCCUGGCUCAGAUUGAACGCUGGCGGCAGGCUUAACACAUGCAAGUCGAACGGUAACAUAAGGAAGCUUGCUUCUUUGAUGACGAGUGGCGGACGGGUGAGUAAUGCUUGGGAAUCUAGCUUAUGGAGGGGGAUAACUACGGGAAACUGUAGCUAAUACCGCGUAGAAUCGAGAGAUGAAAGUGUGGGACCUUCGGGCCACAUGCCAUAGGAUGGGCCCAAGUGGGAUUAGGUAGUUGGUG